AGUCGAACGGCACCCCUCUCCGGAGGGAAGCGAGUGGCGAACGGCUGAGUAACACGUGGAGAACCUGCCCCCUCCCCCGGGAUAGCCGCCCGAAAGGACGGGUAAUACCGGAUACCCCGGGGUGCCGCAUGGCACCCCGGCUAAAGCCCCGACGGGAGGGGAUGGCUCCGCGGCCCAUCAGGUAGACGGCGGGGUGACGGCCCACCGUGCCGACAACGGGUAGCCGGGUUGAGAGACCGACCGGCCAGAUUGGGACUGAGACACGGCCCAGACUCCUACGGGAGGCAGCAGUGGGGAAUCUUGCGCAAUGGGGGGAACCCUGACGCAGCGACGCCGCGUGCGGGACGGAGGCCUUCGGGUCGUAAACCGCUUUCAGCAGGGAAGAGUCAAGACUGUACCUGCAGAAGAAGCCCCGGCUAACUACGUGCCAGCAGCCGCGGUAAUACGUAGGGGGCGAGCGUUAUC
rnacentral:rRNA from 1 species